GGCGGACGGGUGAGUAACGCGUAAGAACUUGCCUUUAGACUGGGAUAACAGAGGGAAACUUCUGAUAAUACUGGAUAAGUUAGUAUAUCGCAUGAUAUGCAAAUGAAAGCUACGGCACUAAAGGAGAGCUUUGCGUCCUAUUAGCUAGUUGGUAAGGUAAGAGCUUACCAAGGCGAUGAUAGGUAGCCGGCCUGAGAGGGUGGACGGCCACAAGGGGACUGAGAUACGGCCCUUACUCCUACGGGAGGCAGCAGAC
rnacentral:rRNA from 1 species